AUGAUUAGAACCCUGAAGGCUAGAAGAACUCUUGCACUGCUUCUGAAGAUUGACAUCGCAAAAGCCUUCGACAGCCUCUCUUGGGAAUUUCUCCUCGAGCUACUUUCUGCUAGGGGUUUUGGCAUCAGAUGGACGAACUGGAUUUCAGGGUUGCUCGCAACAUCAUCCACCAGGCUGAACAUUAACGGCGAUCUAUCGGAGAUGAUCAAACACCGCUGCGGGCUUCGACAGGGAGACCCCCUCUCCCCGCUACUCUUCGUGAUCGCAAUGGAUACUCUGGAAUCCCUCUUUAAGACCGCUUGCAGAUACAGAGUGUUUGCCAGCAUUGGUCGGAUAAACAUGCCUUUCCGAGUGUCGAUCUAUGCCGACGACGUCAUUGCCUUCAUCAACCCAUCUAACUCUGAGAUGCACGCGACAGUACGCCUCCUCGAAGCGUUUCAAGAGGUCUCGGGCCUGAAGGCGAAUUGGGACAAGAGCGCGGCCACGCCCAUUCGCUGCGAGGCGAUCGCCGUGGAGGCCGCCAUCGAAGGUACCAACUGCUCCUCCAAGGUGUUCCCAAUUACCUACCUUGGGCUGCCCCUCUAG
rnacentral:rRNA from 1 species